UAUCUUUCUGCCUUUGGGCUGAGACUCUCUUUUCAUCUUAUUUUGUCCAAUUUCUUUAGUGCUGAAAAAAAUGCAUUGUCCAUACUAAUGACAACCCACUGUGUACCUCCUCCCAUGCUCUCCAGCGGUGCAGCUUGUGGUGGUCAGUUGCCUGUUUUUCCUCGCUGUGAACGCUUUUAAUUAAAAGGAAGGGAUUCAGAACCUGCGGAUGUGGAGGGCCAGAGGGCUGAAUUUGCAAGUUGGGCAAUGGGGAAAGCCUUCACAAAGGAGAAAGCCUUUGGGCUGGAAUUGGAGGAGUAGGAGUCAAUAGAGAGAGAAGAGAGUAAAGGGCAAGGCCAUCAUUCCAGGUUUAGGGAGCAAGUACAAAGACACAGAGAAAUGAAAAGGCUUGGCCUGUUUGGAGAAUGUCAAGCUGUCUGGGGUUGAGAGAAAGACAUUCUAACAAGGCUUCCAUUAAAGAGGCUAGAUUUGCUGCUUGGACAUUUUCUAGCUCUUCUGAGACAACUUUUUGUUGAGUUAAGCGAAAAUGAAUGAAAAUCAGAUGGACCAUAUUUCUCUUGAAUGCACACGGGCUUAAAAACGAAGGGGAAAAAGAACUUGACAGAAUGUGUCUUGGCUUUUGCCAAACCCAAAGUAUUUGAAAAAUCACACAGUACACAUCUCGAACCCAAAAACAUGCCUGGAUUCUACCACCCCUAACUGCAGCUGCAGCCAUUUAAUAAAAUGAAUUGUGUACAAG
rnacentral:lncRNA from 10 species